AUGCUGCUGUUGCUCCUGCUCCUCACGAGCGAUCAUCACGUGGAGGUGAAGGUGGAGGAAGGCUCAGAGUCUGUCACCCUGCACUGCAAAACAACACCUGACCUGCCUGAGAACACCAGAGUGGAGUGGACUCGCUCUGACCAUGAACUCUUGAUAGUUCAGGAGUAUUCAAACAAAGGUGGCAAACUUAUGAAACAGGACAAGUUUUACAGAGACCGAACAGAAAUGAAUGAAGACCUGCUGAAAACUUCAGCCUGACCCUGAAACAGCCCACAGAGAGAGACACAGGAGGAUACAUCUGCACCAUCUACAGGGACAAAGACAUCCUGAGACAGAAAGUAGUGCUGCACUAUGUCAGAGGUCAGAGCUGGUGGACAGUGGCUCAGAUUAACUUCAGAAUUCAAAGGUCAUAAUUUAUUUAUGCAUUUAUUUUUUGUUUCUCCACAGAAAAACUUCCACUUUGGGCCACAGCUGUCGUAGUUCUUCUUGUUCUUGUGUUUUUUGGGGGUCUCAUAUAUAGUUUUCAACACUAUUUCAUGUCAGGUGAGUCUCUUGUAUGGAACGCCAGGACUGCCAUAAUGAAUUAAAUACACCAUUAAAUAAUUAAUUAAAUGUGGCAACAAUUAAUUAAAAUUGGAAUUAAUUAGUUAAAUAAAUAGUUAUGACACAUGUAAUUAAAUUAUUGACACAUUUAAUUAAAUAUUUAAUGAUAUAUUUAUUUCAUUUUGGCAGUCCUGGCUCUCAUCAUGAAUUAAUUUUAUCUGUCAGACUCACCCAUCAAACUCAGGGGGCUUGUGACCUGCUGAUAAAAGAUGAACGACAGUCAGAAAUAUACUGAAACUCUAACAAAGGCAGAGGUUAAGAGUAAUUCAGGCUUUUCCUUGCAUGUUAUGUAGCUGAUACCUGCUGUCUUGUGUGGUCUCCUGGUUGUCUGGGCUGUUGUCAGCUGCAUGAGUGUUACUGCCUGCUACACAGAUUUCCUCAGACGGACGUGAUCUGACAUCACAUCUGUUAGUCUGACGUCUGUCCACAGUCGAAGACUCUAUGACUGAAGCAAAAAUGUCUUUAAACGCCGCCAGAGAGCGUUUGACAGUCUUAGGAGUGAUCAGUGACUUUGCUGUCAGAGGCACUGGAGCUCCUCCUAGAGGUUUUAAUGAAACUGCCGUGUUGCCAUUUUUGGGAAGAGCGAGUCUGGGAGAUUUGCUCUGUUUAGACUGUUUCUUCCUUUCUUUUUUAGGUUCAGGCCUCUUGAAGCUGCUGAGGCUUUGAGGACAUGUUCUCCAAAUCUUCAGCUACGUUGUUGACAUGCCACCAUCCGCCCAGGGCUCUCCUUCUCCAUUUUGCUGAAUCUGCUUCCGUGAGCCGCUCCUUAAGUCGACUUUGCGACACGGGCACUUUUGGUGUGACUGAUAGUUUUCCAAUAGGAUCGUGCUGAUAUCAGUCUGACUCUGAAAAACCCCACACAGGGAAACAUUGGGAGAGACACAUGUUACGUCUGGAGAAAGGGAGACAUGAUCAGAUCGAAAACAGUGAUGUUAAAAGUAACAGUUUCUCAGGUGCCAUUGUCUAGAUAUUGAACUUUGGUUUUAUUAUAUUAAUUUCCUCUUUAUGAUAGAAUGAACUUUAAUGUCCCCUUGUUUAACCUUCACCCAGGAGUACCCGAAGCUAGCGUGCAGCUAGCAGGCUGCACUCUGCUGGGACAGGACAAAGGACAAAGGCAUUAUGUUGUUGUUUUCUGAAUCUUUGGUUUUUAUUUAGCCUUUUCUCUAUUUUGUUCAAUGAGUCUUAGCUGCACACUGCCUUUGAAACACAUGUUCAACAAGAAGCCACAGAAACCUUUAUCACAUUAAAGUCUCAUUGUUUCUGUACCGAUUUUCAUGUAUUCUCAUGUGUUUGGCUCCCAGAGUGUCGAUUCCUCCUUCUGUCUCAUCUUCCUCUGUUCUCUGUUACCUGGUCUUUCAGAGUACUGUUAGGGUGAUAUUCUGCCAAGUGUGAAGUUGAUGAGCUUCACAGUUACAACAGGUUAACAUUUCUGAAUAACAUGAUGAAAGUACAAGCAUGAACAUUUUAAACAUGUUUUUAUAUUUAUUUAUAUUUCAACAAUAUGUUUGAAUGUUUUAAUCCAGCAGUUUAAGGUCGGGCUCAGACUAAAGUCUGUGCUAAGACGACACCAUUGCAAAAUGUUCGUUUUGUUUUUCAGAGGUGGGCUUUCUGCAUCAUUACCCUGUUGCAUAAUCUGAAUGAGCUAAAGGGCAUGAACUGAUAGCUUCAUAUUCUCCUUCAGGAUUAUCAGAUAGGGAGCAGAAUUCAUGUUCAUCAAGUGAGACAAAUUGUCCAGAAGCAGCAAAGCAGCCCAGACCAUCACACUACAACCGCCAUGUUUGACUGUUGGUGUGAUGUUCUUCUUAUGAAAUGCUGUUAUUUUCAGUGCAGAUGUAAGGGGACUAAGACUUUCCAGAAAGAUGAGCCUUUUGUCUCGCCAGUGCACAAUUAUUUUCCCAGAAGACUUGGGGAUCAUUGAGAUCAUUUUGGCAAAUGUGAGAUGAGCCUUCGUGAUCCUUUUGGUCAGCAGCAGUUCUCGUCUUGGGAUUCUCCCGGUGUUUGAGGAUGAAGCAGGGUUCCUACAACUUCAGCAAAGUUAGAUUUAAGACUUUUUUUGUCACUCAAUAUUUAACAAUAACAAAAAAAACUUAAAUUAAGAGUUAAAUUGAUUAAGAGUUAUAGACUAAACAGGGGUUAGAGGUCAACAUGUUGAAAUUUGCGUGUGAUCAGUGAUGAGGGGUUUCUGUAUUACCCCUGACAUGCUAUUUAUUUUACAGUCAGCAGACUUCAAGUCUGAAAGACUUUCUUCAAAACAUACAACAUGCCUCAUACACACUUACACUGCUGCUUUUAUCCAUGAUGAUUCUGGCUCACAGACAGGAAAAGAGAAAAUCAUGUCUUUGAAUGUUUGAGACAUUUUAAUAACAAUUAGUCUUAUUCUGAAUUUUUAUGGAUCUGAUCUGAAGUCUGAGGUGUUUCUUUGGAUGAUGUUAAAGACGGAGUACUGUCUCCUCGGUAACCUGGACCUCUGAAGGUUUGAUAGUUUUUUUCUUACUAACAUUAAAAAAUGAAGAAACCCGAAGGUUUAAUUUAGCGAUUCAGAGUCAGUAUUUUGAAAUCUUAAAAUGUAAAUUAUGAACCUGCAAAUCACCAAAAUCGGUUCACUUCUAUUACAUCAUCUCUGGUCAGGUCCUGUCAGGUUACAGCUAAAAAUCUAAUACAAGACCUGGUCUGAAUCAAAAUCAGUACCUUCCUCCUGAUUUAUGUGCUUAUUUAUGUAUAUAUGUAUGUAUUUAUGUAUUCUAGUCUUUCCCCCUGUCCUCUGCCCUUCUGCCCUCUCCUCCAGGCUGUCCUCAGGCCUGUAAGAUGCUGCUGUCAUGUUGUCGGUCAGGUUCUUUCUGAAAGAAGCAAACAUGAAGAUCAGAACUAAACACACAGACAACACACUGGUGAAACUGGAGCUAAAGAAAGACCAAGAAUUCAAAAUAAUGAAACAUUGAAAACUCACAGCAAACAGAACUUGGAGUAAUCCAGUAAGACUGGAACUCUACAUGCUGAGAUAGCAAACAAAUCAAGAACUAAAACACAGAUCACAAAGUAGAAAUCAACAUUAUCAAUAAAGACAGAAAUCAGAGAUUCAACUAUAUCACGAGGCUUCAGAUGCACUUUUAGAAUAUUGUUGAAGAAAAAAAUGCUUACAAUUAUUUGAAGUAUUACUAUACUUGUGCUGUUUUCUUCAUCCUGCAAAGCUGUUCAUGUUCAACAUGACUGAUGAACAGAUCCACACAGUCAUUCAGUUUGUUUGGAGGAAGCAGCUCAUCUGAGGUCAUGUGAUUAUCAGCAGGUUUCAGUGGAGCUGAUUUAACUCUUUGGUCCAACAGAGCAGCUCAGACAGAACUGUAGAGAUGAGCUGUGUUGAUCCUGAGGACUUAGUGAUGUGUAGAAAUAAUGAAACCUUGAUGUGUGACAGUUUCUGAGGCUCCAGGUUGAAGAUGUGUUUUAAAUCCGGUGCUUUGUUGAGUCAUAUUGUCCUACAAAGAAACCGAUCCUGACAGAAGACAGGAUCUGUGAUCAGAACUCCUUGAACUCUCUAAUGUUUCAUUUUAGGUCCACAAACACUUUCAGCAGUAAGUA
ensembl:lncRNA